UUGUACCUACCCUUUCAUUAUGAUUAAAAAUUAGAAUUUCUUAUGAAUCUUAAAUUAUGUAAUAAAUAGUUUAGAAGAGAUAAAAGAAAUUUGUUUUUAGUAUUAUUUUGUGGUUAAUGAAGCGGCUAAAAAGUCCUGUAAGUUUUUCGAUAAUAAUGUAUAAGCGAUUAAAAGUAGUUUUACAGUACAGUAACAAUGUAUUUUGAUAAUUCUUUGUUUAGUUAUUGCUACUAAAAUAGCAGUUUCAAAAAAUUAGCAGUAAUUUCAAAAAGUAUCAAUUUCAGCAUUUUUUUUAAAUAUUUCUUAAAUUGUUUUUUCUGUUUGGUUUUUAACAACGCUAUAGAACGUCUAUAGUUAACUCUUAGCUUCCUAAUUUUUCUGCUUUUACUAAAAGUAGAAAAAUUAUGAAAAAUAGUUACCACUUAAAAUGCAUAAAUUUUCUCUAAAAGUUUUAGAGAAAAAUUAUGCAUUUUAAUUGGUAACUACUUUUUAAAUAACUAAAUAAAAUUAUUAUUGUUUGUUUAUAUUAAGACAUAACAUCUAUUUGUUUAUGACUGAUGUUAUAUUGAUCGAAUAGCAAUGUUUUAAUAUUUACACUUUUAGUGCAGUCAGUGCCAAUCAAAAAUUAUGAGGUUCAGUUUUAGUGUAGGCUUUUAGUGUAAACUAAAAAAUAUUUUUAAACGUUUAAGAGUAAUCCUUCAGUUAGGUGACCUAAAAUAGUUAUAUUUUUGCCAGGGGUUUUUGCUACAUCGAUAUAAUAAAAAUAAAAAUAAAAUUGCUUUCCCAUGCCAAACCCUUAGUUCAUGUAGCAGUACUUCCUUUUAGCAGCAGGCUAUAAGAUAGUCGAUGUAGCAGCACACCGUUGCGAGUCAGGCUUUAAGAUAGUCGAUGUAGCAAAACCCCCUGACAAAAAUAUAAUUAUUUUGGGCUGCGUAACUGUAGCUUUACCAGUUUAAGUAUUAUUCAUACUCUUAUAUGAUAACCACUAAAGAGAAAAUAAAUUUACUUAACUCUGAUAUGAUAGAUUAUUAUAUUGAAUCAUUUAUUUUCUCUUUAGUAGAAAAGUUAACAUGGUUCGAACAAUAAUAAAGUUAUAUUACAUAGUUAUAUUAUAUUUCUAAAAUCUGCGCAAAUAUUUUUUUUAUAAUUUAUUAAGUUUUGCGUGUUUAAUUUCAUUUAAUAUUUUAUAUACAGUCCAGUCAGUUGCAACAACAAUUAAAGCAACAAGAAACAGCCAAGUACACAUGCAAGUGGUAAAUUGAUUUUUUGUGACAUUUUUACUCCUUUAAAAUUUAGAUUUUCCUAAAAUAAUAAUUAAGUUAAUGGCUAUUUCUGUAAAGAUCAUUCUGUAAAUAAAAGCUGCAAUGUUUUUAAAAUUUAAAGAUAUUUUUUUAGUAAUCACAAGAUAAACUGCAAACUCUGUAUUUUUAAAUAUGAUUCUAAAAUCUGAACAUCUGUCUGAUAUUUACCUUUUAAAUCAUAAUCUAAUUGCUCAGGCUUAUAAAAAGCUAUUUAUAAAAAUUUAUAUUUGAAAGGUACAUUGAUGAUUGGUUUGAGUCUUUAAAGUUUAAAUUAGUUAAAAGAGAGUUCAAAUUGUUCUGUUUUUAUCUUAUACUCUUUAUCUAAAAGCUAUUGAAAUAUUUAUUGCAUUAUUUUUCAUUUAUUUUAUUAUGUUAUGAAAGACCUACCAAGCUUGAAAUUUUACGGGUCGAAAUAUAUAUUACGCAUAUGUAUAUCAUCCCUCGGAAUUAGGAAAACUAAAGUCAACAAAAAAAGCUAAAAAACUAGAAGAUUAAACUUAUUUAAAACACUUUUAACAAGUUUAGUUACAAGUUAAUGUUAUGUGUUGAUGUACCUUCAACCAAAUUAGUGUUAACAUUUUAGCAAAAUGUCAUAUCGUCAGGCUGUUUGAUUGGAAGAACCGAAAGCUUGAUAUUUUAUUGAAUUGUUAUUUUAGUUUGUGAUAUAAUAAUUUUUAUUCAAAAAAUGUUAAACUAUUUACUUUUUAAAUUAAUUUGUCAUUGCUUUGGAUAUGAUGUUUUGUUAUUCCUUUUACAGAUUGUUAUGAGGAUUGCAAAAGUUUUAAAUAUCAGAAACUGAAGAAGGCAAUCACUACUUCCACAGCCACCUUGUCUCAAGCAUUCAAUUGCAUUUUAAGAUCUUUAUUAUCUUUAUUCAAAUCAAGUGUGAAACCAAAAGACUGUAAAAUGGACCAAUCAACUAACCCAUCAGUACUUGUAAAGUCUCCUUUUCUGUUAGCUCGAAAAUUGAGUUUUAAAAUACCAUUAUUCACAUAACUACUAUAUCAAAGCACAAACUAAUGGAUUGAUCAAGUAAUAUUUAUUGAUCAAUGAAACUGUCGGUAUCUCUACAACUUUUCAAUUAAAUAGAAAGUUUCAAUCCAACAGGAUACUGAGUGUGCCUACUGCUCCUCAAGACAAUGGAAAAAAGAUUGUAUGACUUCGGUAUCCGCAAUAUGAUAUCGUGCAUUGGUUCUUAUCUUAGAAUGACCCCCUUCCGUUUAGGUGGAAAUAGAAAAGGUUACGUCCUUUUUUCUAAUUCUUAAGACGAAGAGGCUUAAUCAGUUCAAGCAAAGAUGACAAUGAUCAUUAUGGAGCCAAUCAUGAUGACGAAUACGAUAAUGCAUAUAAUAAUAAAUAAAAUGAUUUUACUUGUAUUUUAGAUUUAUAUAAAUAAAAAAUUAUCUGUUUAA